rnacentral:rRNA from 1 species
GACGAACGCUGGCGGCGUGCCUAAUACAUGCAAGUAGAACGCUGAAGAGAGGAGCUUGCUCUUCUUGGAUGAGUUGCGAACGGGUGAGUAACGCGUAGGUAACCUGCCUGGUAGCGGGGGAUAACUAUUGGAAACGAUAGCUAAUACCGCAUAAAAUUGAUUAUUGCAUGAUAAUUAAUUGAAAGAUGCAACUGCAUCACUACCAGAUGGACCUGCGUUGUAUUAGCUAGUUGGUGAGGUAACGGCUCACCAAGGCGACGAUACAUAGCCGACCUGAGAGGGUGAUCGGCCACAAUGGGACUGAGACACGGCCCAGACUCCUACGGGAGGCAGCAGUAGGGAAUCUUCGGCAAUGGGGGGAACCCUGACCGAGCAACGCCGCGUGAGUGAAGAAGGUUUUCGGAUCGUAAAGCUCUGUUGUAAGAGAAGAACGGGUGUGAGAGUGGAAAGUUCACACUGUGACGUUAUCUUACCAGAAAGGGACGGCUAACUACGUG